rnacentral:rRNA from 1 species
CCUACGGGGAGCUGCAGUGGGGGAUAUUGCACAAUGGGGGGAACCCUGAUGCAGCGACGCCGCGUGUGGGAAGACGGUCCUCUGGAUUGUAAACCACUGUCCCCAGGGACGAAAAUGAUGGUACCUGGGGAGGAAGCUCCGGCUAACUACGUGCCAGCAGCCGCGGUAAUACGUAGGGAGCGAGCGUUGUCCGGAAUUACUGGGUGUAAAGGGAGCGUAGGCGGGGAUGCAAGUUGGGGCUCAAAACUACCGGCUCAACUGGUAGUCGCACUCAAAACUGCAGCUCUUGAGUGAAGUAGAGGCAGGCGGAAUUCCUAGUGUAGCGGUGAAAUGCGUAGAUAUUAGGAGGAACACCAGUGGCGAAGGCGGCCUGCUGGGCUUUUACUGACGCUGAGGCUCGAAAGUGUGGGGAGCAAACAGGAUUAGAUACCCGUGUAGUC